rnacentral:lncRNA from 1 species
AGGCUUGUGUGCUAUAACAUAAACAGAAAGUAAAGAUAAGGUGUAUGUUUUUGUUAUAGGGAUAGUUUUUUGAAGCUUGUAUGACAACUUUUUAUGCAUUUUAUGGUAUAGUACAUAAAGAAGACAAAAAUUCAACAAAAUAAACAGAUUGUAGUAAAACUAACCAUGAUUCAAAUAGCUAUUACACAAAGGCACAAGAAAAACACAAAUAUAUAAUGAGUUUAUUAAGUAGACAAAAAAAAUAAUAAUUUGAAUAAAAAAAAAAAAUAGUGAACAGGAAAAAAACACAUCUUGCCGCAAACAGGGUAUAGUUACUAGAAGUACUAUAAAAAUACAAUAAUGAAAAAACUACCAUUGUAACUUAUUAUUUUCUAUUACUUACAUAAAUAACAACAAGAA